CUGUGAUAUUUUUAUCCCAUAUACGUACAAAUCAACUUGAGCGAUUUGGUCGGCCAAGGAACAAAUCCGACAGAUAAACUUUUCGUAUAUGGCCUGCUAAUGUCUAGAACGUCAUAACAAUUUUUGUGAACUGUACUUCUCAACUGUCCCCGUCAAUCACAAUCACAAUAAUAGAUUUACUACGACAUUGCUAUGUUCACCAUGGGAAAUUCAGAAGAUAACUAUAAAAAUAGAUUUAAUAUUAUUUUUUAUAGUUUCACGUUAUAAUGUAAUAAAUUGUCAUUUGUCACUCGUUAUUCAUCAGUGUUGGUUUGAAAUUUAAAAUAUCGUGCAUUAGUGUUAUUACUUAUUAUUUAGUUUAUCACGUUAAAAUUUUAUUCUUGUUGUGUGUACCUAUGUACCUAUUCAGUCAUCUAGAACCCAGAUAUCAUUGUGUUAAAACAUAAUGAAUAAACGAAAAGGUGGUGCAGCACGUCUUCGGGAGAAAAAUAAAAAACUACUUUUGUCUUUGGCCAAUUCUAAUAUGAAAGUAGAUUCGGUUUUUAUACAGAGCAGUAAGGUACAAAGUAGUGAAAAUCGUAAUUUUUUCAGUCUCAGAUAUCUAAUAUUGGAGUAGACAAGCAAAAUGAUUCUUGUAUAAAUGUAAUAAAUAGCAACGAUGAUAUCCCUACACAAAGUUCUACAUUUUCAAAUUCAUUGAUAAAUACAUAUAUAUCUGGUAUUAAAAUAGACAAACAAAAUGAUUCUUGUAUAAAUGUAAUAAAUUAUGAUGAUGUUGAAGUAAUUAUGCCUACACAAAGUUCUACAUUUUUGUAUUCAUUGAUAAAUACAUUAUUAUCAAAUGACAUGACUUGAUCAAAUUUAUACAUGGCGAUCAAACAGUAAUGUCCUUGAAUGUAUACAUUGUUUGUCAUGUGAACUUCAAAAUUCAAAUAUUUUUCUAUCAAAGGCCAUGUUAUUAGUGAAAUCUUCUAGGAAUAAUAUCUUAAAAUUGCGCUGUGAAGAAUCGUGAUUAAAUUUUCAUCAAAAAGCAACUGAUAUAGCAAUUUGUAAUGGCAUAAAAAUUCUAACCCAUAAUAAGCACGAGAAAAGAAAACAGACUUUCAAUAAACAUUUGAAUGAUUAUUUUGUACAAACCACUCUGGGAAGAGAUAAAAAUGAAGAAAAAGAUGUUUUAAGUAUGAAAGUUGAGCUUUUGUAUCAAGUGGUUGAUUGGAUUGUAACGCAGUUAGAUGAACGUUUUUCAAUAAAUGAUCAAGUUUUUGACAUAUUUAAUGUAUUUGACUAUACAAAUGCUGACUUUCUUCAUGCAGAAUGUGGUACUAUUAAUAAGUUCUUAUACCACUACAAAAGUUUUCAAAUUAAUACUUUAAACUCGUCAUCAGAAUUUUCUUCAAUAAAGGUAAUAUUAGAACUAGAAAACAAUUCCCAAUUUAAAUUAGAAUUAAUAUUAAAUAUUGUUUAAAUCUACCGUUUGCAUUUCCUGAAACAACAAAAAUAUUGUCCAUAAUGUUAACAUUACCAGUGACAACAGCAUCUAAUGAACGUUUCUUUUCUUCACUGAAAGGGAUAAAAAAUUUAUUAAGAACAUCAAUUGGUCAUGAAAGAUUAAACGAUAUUUAAUGGUUCUUGAAGUUGAAAUCGAAGAAGCCAAUCAAAUUAAUUUGAAUGAUGCAGUUGAUGAUUCUGCAAAAAUGAAAGUCAGAAGUUACCCACU
rnacentral:lncRNA from 1 species